CACGCUGUAAACGAUGAGUGCUAGGUGUUGGGUAGCGAUAUUCAGUGCCGAAGUUAACACAAUAAGCACUCCGCCUGGGGAGUACGGUCGCAAGACUGAAACUCAAAGGAAUUGACGGGG
rnacentral:rRNA from 1 species